UAAAUGGUAUAUAAAGAGCAGGUAUUGAUUGAAUUCAUAUAAUGCUGAAGUAUCCAAUGAUUAAGGAUAUCUAAUAAUUGAGAUGGAGUUGUACAGCAUAAUCAGAAUAAUCGCAUUACUUUUUCUGGUUGCUAUAAUUGGGGUCAUGGGAAUGCCAAAUGCAGGAGUAACAGAUACAAAUAGCUGGUAUUGUUGUCGUAAAGAUCGAUAUGGUGAUUGUUUGGAAUGGUGCAGGCCUUAAAUAGCUGUUCUGUGGUAAUCAGAUAUGAAGGAAAGAAGAAAAUAUGCUGGAUUACUGUUUCAAUAAAAAAUGACUAGUCAAUACACUAUUUCGGAUGCUAACAGAUUUUAUACAUGUAUUUUCUGUUCAAAAAUUUAAUCUAAGAUUGAGGCAGAUCAAAAGAACCCCUGACCCUACGGCCAUGAAAUUCACAAUUUUGAAAGAGGCAUCCUUUCUUAUUAUUUCUAUGCACCCAAAAGUCAAUUAUUUAAUACCCAGAAGCAGAGGAGAUUUUUAAGGUAUUAAUGCAGUUUCACUUUAUGACCGUUAUAGCCCCGCUCUAACACCAGAACCCCUGAGAGAGAAGACAUGGAAUUCAAAAUCUUGAAAGAGACACACUUCCUCAUUAUAACUAUGCAUAGCUGGCUGUAAAUAAAAGAUUA